AGUUUUAGGGUCACACCCAAGUUGUCAGAUGACUAUACAACAUACUGUCUUUCCUGAAGUGGCUGUAAUAUCAUCACAGACUCUCCACAUGAAGAACCCUGCAAUGAAAAUAUACCUUUCGUGCCUCCAUUAAUACCAUUAUUACAACAUUAUUACAUCAUUGUAUUAUUAUUAAUUUCAUAUUUGAACAGGAAAUGGGAUUUCACAUUUUCUGGUUGGACUCCAUCUCUAACCAACUGGUCAAUCGGAUUGUGACCUGGUCGAUGGUUCAUGGUGUUCGCACAGAGUGAGGUAGUAGGUUGUGUGGUUUCAGGGUUGUUAUUUUGCCCCAUCAGGAGUUAACUGUACAACCUACUGCCUUCCCUGAAGGGCAGCAACACAACGCUACGAGCAUGGCCACAAUGGAGCUCACUGUCUACUGUGCUGCUUUUAAGUGGAGCGAGAAGUGAAGAAGGUAAGCUAUCUCAAAUCAUUGCCUUGGUACUUUUUUAUUUAUUUAACUUAACUAGGCAAGUCAGUUAAGAACAAAUUCUUGUUUUCAAUGACAGCCAAGGAACAGUGGGUUAACUGCCUUGGUCGGGGAUAGGACAACCGAUUUUCACCUUGUCAGCUCAGGGAUUUGAUCUUGCAACCUUUUGGUUACUAGACGAACGCUCCAACCACCUAGGCUACCUACCAAAAUGUGCUAAACAGAGUAUUUUAUGUAUUGGAAUUUGGAAAUAUAUAUAUAUUUCAUAUAUCUUCAAUUUUGUAAUAAUCCAUACUGUACUAAAAGUCAUAAUAAAAAGUGAGUAGUCUUAGUCACAUGUGUGUCGACUCCUUUUGGUUGUUAAGAAUUGGAAGUAUAUAGUUAUGAAUGUUCCUAGAAAUACUGUAUGUGGCCAUUUCUUAUCCUGGACAUGAAGACUGAAACAUCUGCUGGGAGAAUGGAUCAAUCAAUACAUAAAGAAGGAUACAUGUCAGGAUACAAAUAAAUGAAUACAUGUCAGGAUAAAACAAGGCCGACAUUUUGUAACAUUGUGUUUGAAAUCUACAACGUUUGUGUCCUCACUCUCUUCCCAGCCAGAUUCCCAUGUCAUUUAUAGCUUUUAUGGUAGAUAAAAAUAUGAGCACAGCCAGCCCGGACAGCCAUUAGCCAGUGUAUAGGGCAGACGGGCCCUCAGUCACAGAUGCCUAUGUCACUGCUCCAGAAUUUAUGACUGUCGGCUGGCACAGGCACACACAGUCCCAGACCGACAGAAGAAAACACGACCGCAGGGGGAAAUGAGGGUUUGAAGACUGCGUUUUCUAUACAAGGACACAACAUCUCAAACAGCACCUUAUAACUGUUUUAACUGUAUUUAUUAAAUGUGAAUGAAGUGAGUUCACCGGGCGAUUUGUUCAUUGACAAUUAGGUAACUGGGUAAUUAGGUAACAACACCAGGUGGCGCCAUAGAUCAUUGUAUUUUCUGCAGCCAGGCAAGUUUUCCUUCCGUAAUGAUUUUACAGACCGAAUGAGAAUACAUUUGUAGAGAUAUAUAGAAGUAAAUUCAGCCAUUGCAGCCCAAACCAAGCCACCAUAAAGAUAUAGUCAGGAAGCAAACUGUGGAUGCAUUUUUGGAAUGACCAGACUAUACCAACAAGCAAUCGUUGAGAGAAAGUUUUAAAAAAGUGGACAGUCACUUUAGCCUACUGUCUACUUAUAGUUGGGUAGACUUGCCAUCGUGCAGAUGAUAUAUUUAGUUUAUGUCCACAUCUCAGUGGUUUUCUGUAUUUCUUUCUUUAAAACUUAUUUUAAGAUUGACUGCCAGAGUUGACAGUGAAUGAUUUACAGUCUAAAGACAUGUUGGCCUAUUCAUGAAACAUUUGGAAAUGUCAUACAGACACUUCACAUUCAUACAUACACUGACUCCUCUUUUAUUUGCUAUCAUGUGUUGCAUGUGGCUUGAUGGCUACUUGGCCUUCAUCUGUCGGUGUGCUUUUAAAUUGAACAAGACAAAUUCCCUAUUGUAUUAUUUUCUAUUCAAUUGCAUUUUGGACAGUGUUUUGCAAUGCAUUUAGUGGUGGGUGAAGGAUUCUUUCUGUCAUCUGGGGUUGAUGAAAAUGUAGGAUAAAUGAAAAGCUUUGGCAUGUCUCUGUGGAGCUGGCCAGUGGGCGGAAUCUCAAUUGUUACGGUUUAACAACAGGCUUUUAUCAAAUGGAAAUCUCACCUGUGUGGAACAGGCAUCUCUCACUGAGACCUCUGAUUUCCUAUUCGCUGAAACCAUAGGUGUGUCAGGAGGGGUGUGCUUCUCCGGAGUUGUAUUACUACAUCAUUUCCGAAAGGGAGUGUGACGUUUUUGACAGAGGGUACAGUAGUUUUGACAGAGUCAGUGGUGAACAGCGCAGGCUUGUUUGUAUCAAAAGGACUAUAUGCACCUGUCCCCUCCGAUUUCACCUCUGACAGUCGUAUUCAGCACGCUUUGCAACCAUAUGGCGACUUUGGAUUGGACAGUCAUUGUUGAGGGGGGAAGAGUUGAACAGUCCAGAGAUUGAGCUGAGCCCUGAGGCCCCAUCCCCGGCCACUCUCACCGACACCCAACCCACUGUCUCUCUGCCCUGCAUCUCCAUCAACAUCCAACCCAUCUCCCCGACCCAGCUCCAAUAGCUGGAAGAGGAAGACAGCUAAGAAUCCUUUGGACACUGACAUUACACAGCGGGUGGAUGACUUAAUAAAGAAAGGGCAGCAGGAGUUACAGAAACAGCAUCAGUGUCCCAGCAAAGGCCGUCUAUAAUGUCAUGAUACCAUGGAUGGGGUCUAUUCCUGCUGAUUAACGUCUCCCGUUUAUCUCACCCCAAAAACUCUUGUGUGCUUUAAAAACGUUUUUAUUUUUAAAUAUUAGGGUGGUAAAUUACUGUUGUUUUUUUUGUGCAUGUUUUUUUAUACUUAUUUCCUCAUUGUCAUGUUACUGAUGUUUACUCAGUUUUCUUCUCGUAUUUCCCCUUUCAUCACACUUUUCACCUGUGUACUACAUUGUUUUACAUUGCACUUGUGGCAGAAAAUAUUACUGUUUUAAAUCAGUCACUCAGUAAACUUCUAAUGCUUUGUACAUGAUUGAAGAUCAUUCUACCUCAUUGUAGAUGAGGUUAAUGUCUUGAGGUUCUAGCCUUAUUGUCUACAGCUGGACAGAUACUUUUCUUUUUGCUAUAGCAAGAAAGUUCUCAUUGAAAGUCCACUACACAACACAAGGUUAGUUAAAUGUCUUGAGGGUCUAGCCUCUUGAAAAAUAUGAAAAACGAAGGAUGAAGUAAUUGUCAUUAUAGUACUCUUUAUUGUGAUUUGUAAAAUGUGAAUAAUAAGAAGAGCAAAACCAAGUGUGUAGCUCACAACAUGACACAAACAGUCAUCCACCAGGAGAAGAGAACGUAUUUGUGCACAUAUUUUCCAAACCACACUCCAACAUUUACAGUAGGGUGCCACGCGUGAUAGCAGCACUCUGGAAAGCCACUUGACCUGCUGGUGUGAGGAAGUAGUCCUUGAGGUUGUUGUGCACGUCUAUGGCAACUCUGACGACAUGUUUCUUGGGUCCAGAAUGCUCGUGUCCCCUUUACCACCUGUCUCCACUCUCCUGAAAGCAGGUGGGUGUGGAGUGGUCAAUAAACGUGGGGUGGAUGUACCGUGUUGAUGAAUCUGUAUUGUUAAUGUCUGUGGUGCAAAGGUAGUUGUGGAAGGCCGCAUAGGCAUGCACAAUGGUCUCGGCUUUCUCUGGGGCAACCUCAGGGGCUCGUCCCAGGAUCCUCCAUCUUGCAGCAAGGAUCCCAAAGCAGUUCUCUUACAUUCUUCUGGCUCUUGAGUGGCGACAGUUGUAGAUCUUCAUGGUGUCAAGAUGGCCAAAAAAACAAGUGUUUCCAUUACUAUUGAACAGGAACAUGAAGGCUAUCAAAUGUAUACUGCAACAAUUGUGUAGCCAAUGCUUUAGACAUAGGCCCUCAUCCCGUUAUUGGGAUGCCAAAUCAAUUUUAUGUGAGGCAUGUCAUUACAACGUCUGUAGCGGUAUAAUAUUCACAUUAUAUGUAUAUAGCGUAUGGUGGGUCGGUACCUUGCAUCGCAGACUGCCAUCAGGACCAUUUGAGAAAAAGCCCUUGUAGGUGUAGUAUUCGUCUGCCGAAUCUCUGAUCUGAAUGGAUAAUUCCAACGAUCCCCAAAAUCUCUGGCGAUUUCUGCCCAUUUUGCCACGGAGGGAUAAGCAACAAAACCCUCCUUCAGGACAUGCCAGGUGGCUUGGCACACUUCCAUGACGAUUGCGCAUACUGUUGAGAUUCCUAGCAUAUAAAUGAUAACUCGCAGCAAGACUUGGCUGUGUGCAGCCACUCGCCAAAGACCGAAGGAUCACACAGACUUUCUGCAGCACUUAUGGGCAAGCUGUGAGUUCUCUCGUGCGAGAUGUUAGGGGAAAGCUGCUGAAGCAAGUCGUCAUAUCUGGCAUCCGACAUCCGAAAGUAUUGAACAUGUCUCUCCUUGUUAACGCUUCACAUAGGUUGGACAAUUUUCACUGGCCUGGUGCGUGGUGCCGGCACCUCGCAGAUGCGAGGAGCUGGAAUAGAGCGCACCGGGCUAGAAUAGCGCACUGGAGACACCGUGUGCAUCUUUGCAUAACAUGGUGCCUGACCAGUUACACGCUCCCCACGGUAAGCACAAGGAGUUGGCUUAGGUCUCCUACCUGACUCAGCCAAUCUCCUCGUGUGUCCCCCCCCCCCCAAAAAAAAUCUUCGGGCUGCCUCUCGGGCUUCCAUGCUAGCCGUGUACCCUCAUAAUGUCGCCGUUCCUGCUGUGCUUUCUCCACCUGCUUCCAUUGCAGAGUCCUUUCCCCUCAGUACUUCUCCUCGUAGUAUCGCUGCUCAGCUUUCGCUGCCUCUAACUCCUCCUUUUGGAUGGCGAUACUCCCCCGGCUGUGCCCAGGGUCCUGCUCCAUCCAGUAUUUCCUCCCAGGUCCAUUUCCCCAUUAAUCGCUGUUCCUCUUUAUCACGCUGCUUGGUCCUUGUUUGGUGGGCGAUUCUGUCUCGUCCGUUGAAUGGAGGAGACCAAGGCUCAGCGUGAUGUGAAUAAAUUAUUCUAUUUAUUAAUGAAGAAACACUAAACAAACUAUACAAAACAACAACCACGAACGGUCCUCUAUAUAUAAACAAGUGCAGACACAGGCAACUAGACAUAGACAAUCACCCACGAAUUACCCAAGG
ensembl:lncRNA